AUUGAAUGCUGGCGGCAGGCCUAACACAUGCAAGUCGAACGAGUGGCGGACGGGUGAGUAAUGUCUGGGAAACUGCCUGAUGGAGGGGGAUAACUACUGGAAACGGUAGCUAAUACCGCAUACCAUCGGAUGUGCCCAGAUGGGAUUAGCUAGUAGGUGGGGUAACGGCUCACCUAGGCGACGAUCCCUAGCUGGUCUGAGAGGAUAACCAGCCACGCUGGAACUGAGACACGGUCCAGACUCCUACGGAAGGCAGCAGUGGGGAAUAUUGCACAAUGGGCACAAGCCUGAUACAGCCAUGCCGCGUGUGUGGAGAAAGCCAUCGGAUUGUAAAGUACUUUCAGCGGGGAGGCAUUACCCGCAGAAGAAGCACCGGCUAACUCCGUGCCAGCAGCCGCGGUAAUUC
rnacentral:rRNA from 1 species